GAUGAGCCUUACUCCAACAGCAAGAAAAGUUAUAGCCAUAUUACAACAUGAAACACUUAAUAACAGAGAAUGCCAGGUCAUGGAUUAUCUAAAGAGGUUCAUCAAGCACUGUAGUGAUGUUCGGCUCAGGAAAUUUCUGCGUUUCUGCACAGGAGCUGACCUCCUUGUUGCAAGGUUUAUUCAUGUCCGAUUUGUGCAGCCACAAACUUCCUUCACAAGAUCUCCCCAGGCCCACACCUGUGGAUGUGUGUUAGAAGUUCCAAACAAUUAUCCUUCAUACCCUGAGCUUGCAGAGGAGUUCAUAAACAUCCUUGAUGCAAACAUAUGGGUGAUGGAUAUUGUGUAAAGGUGGUCAGACAGUAUGUGCAGCAGGAUAUGACUGUUUCUUUGUAUCAUUCACAGUCUCCACCUCAAACACAGUUUCCUG